UGGGGAAUAUUGCACAAUGGGCGCAAGCCUGAUGCAGCCAUGCCGCGUGUAUGAAGAAGGCCUUCGGGUUGUAAAGUACUUUCAGCGGGGAGGAAGGUGUUGUGGUUAAUAACCACAGCAAUUGACGUUACCCGCAGAAGAAGCACCGGCUAACUCCGUGCCAGCAGCCGCGGUAAUACGGAGGGUGCAAGCGUUAAUCGGAAUUACUGGGCGUAAAGCGCACGCAGGCGGUCUGUCAAGUCGGAUGUGAAAUCCCCGGGCUCAACCUGGGAACUGCAUCCGAAACUGGCAGGCUUGAGUCUUGUAGAGGGGGGUAGAAUUCCAGGUGUAGCGGUGAAAUGCGUAGAGAUCUGGAGGAAUACCGGUGGCGAAGGCGGCCCCCUGGACAAAGACUGACGCUCAGGUGCGAAGGCGUGGGGAGCAAACA
rnacentral:rRNA from 1 species